UUCACCACCUUCUACAGUCCUCUGCUCUGUCUAAUCACUUUGUGAAGUUGUCCAGUCUUGCGCUCACCUCCUUGCUAUCUCCUGCCCCGAUGUUUUCACCUUCUGCCUGGAGCAAUGUGGGGAGAAUGUAAUGAACACAGAUGAAGUAGGGAAAGGAGAUCUAGGGAAGCAUCUCUAGCAGGAGAUUAGAGAACUAGUGUGUUCCUCAUGCCUGAUGGUUCACACAACAGGUUAAAGGAAGCAUGAAGGUGAGCUAGACCACUGUGAUUAGAUAAAGAAAGCAGACUCAGUGGCCUCUACACCUGCUUUUGCAUAACGUGAGACAGACCCAGAUGCACAGAGAGCUCUGAAAUGUCAUGAAGGAAGCAGAUGAAGAAGACAGUACAGGACAGAGCCCUUUUCAGAGCAACGUGAUUAAUAGCUCACUUUCAAGAACAGCAUGCAGGGUGCAUGCUUGCCCACAUGACAAAAGAUACUCAGAUACAAGCCCACAUGACAAAAGAUACUCAGAUCCAAGCACUCGCGAACUUCCAGUGUCGGGUGGUAGGAGACUACUCAUCAUUCCUCCCUCUGCUGGCGAUUUCAUGAAUAAGCCAGGUGGACCAGCCUGUGUGAAAUGCCUAAAUGCAUAGAGACGCCAGGCUCCCAGCUAACCAUUGAGAGGGAAAUGUGGGAAAUUACAUUACAUAUCAGAGUACAGUCUGAACAGUUUCACCAUAGAAUGUAUCAUAGAAAGUAGUCUG
rnacentral:lncRNA from 1 species